rnacentral:rRNA from 1 species
UGAGGAACCCACCCCGGAGACCGGGAUAACUCUCCGAAAGGAGAGCUAAUACCGGAUGUCCUCAUCGGAUCGCAUGGUCUGAUGAGGAAAUGGAUUCCGCUCCGGGACGGCCUCGCGGCCUAUCAGCUAGUUGGUGAGGUAACGGCUCACCAAGGCGACGACGGCUACGGGGUCUGAGAGGACGACCCCGCACAUUGGAACUGAGACACGGUCCAGACUCCGUACGGGAGGCAGCAG